AGAUGGUUAGUUUAAUAAAAACCACUAAUUUCGACUUAGUAAACCCCAAAUUAAGGGACCAUCAA
rnacentral:tRNA from 1 species